rnacentral:rRNA from 1 species
CAGCAGCCGCGGUAAUACGUAGGUGGCAAGCGUUGUCCGGAAUUAUUGGGCGUAAAGGGCUCGCAGGCGGUUUCUUAAGUCUGAUGUGAAAGCCCCCGACUCAACCUGGGAGGGUCAUUGGAAACUGGGAAACUUGAGUGCAGAAGAGGAGAGUGGAAUUCCACGUGUAGCGGUGAAAUGCAUAGAGAUGUGGAGGAACACCAGUGGCGAAGGCGACUCUCUGGUCUGUAACUGACGCUGAGGAGCGAAAGCGUGGGGAGCGAACAGGAUUAGAUACCCCGGUAGUCCCUGUCUCUUAUAC